GACGAACGCUGGCGGCGUGCUUAACACAUGCAAGUCGAACGGAAAGGCCUCUUUCGGGGGGUACUCGAGUGGCGAACGGGUGAGUAACACGUGAGUAACCUGCCCUUGACUUUGGGAUAACUUCAGGAAACUGGGGCUAAUACCUGAUAGGAGCUCCUGCCGCAUGGUGGGGGCUGGAAAGUUUCGGCGGUUGGGGGUGUACUCGCGGCUUAUCCGCUUGUUGGUGGGGUAGUGGCUUACCACGGCUUUGACGGGUAUCCGGCCUGAGUGGGUGACCGGCCACAUUGGGUCUGAGGUACGGCCCAGACUCCUACGGGAGGCAGCAGUGGGGAAUAUUGCACAAUGGGUGGAAGCCUGAUGCAGCAACGCCGUGUGCGGGAUGACGGCCUUCGGGUUGUAAACCGCUUUCGCUCAUGACGAAGCUUUGUGUGACGGUAGUGGGUAAAGAAGCACCGGCUAACUACGUG
rnacentral:rRNA from 1 species